rnacentral:rRNA from 1 species
UGUUUCGGCUAGGGGGCCAUCCCGGCUUACCAACCCGAUGCAAACUGCGAAUACCGGAGAAUGUUAUCACGGGAGACACACGGCGGGUGCUAACGUCCGUCGUGAAGAGGGAAACAACCCAGACCGCCAGCUAAGGUCCCAAAGUCAUGGUUAAGUGGGAAACGAUGUGGGAAGGCCCAGACAGCCAGGAUGUUGGCUUAGAAGCAGCCAUCAUUUAAAGAAAGCGUAAUAGCUCACUGGUCGAGUCGGCCUGCGCGGAAGAUGUAACGGGGCUAAACCAUGCACCGAAGCUGCGGCAGCGACACUGUGUGUUGUUGGGUAGGGGAGCGUUCUGUAAGCCUGUGAAGGUGUGUCGUGAGGCAUGCUGGAGGUAUCAGAAGUGCGAAUGCUGACAUAAGUAACGAUAAAGCGGGUGAAAAGCCCGCUCGCCGGAAGACCAAGGGUUCCUGUCCAACGUUAAUCGGGGCAGGGUGAGUCGACCCCUAAGGCGAGGCCGAAAGGCGUAGUCGAUGGGAAACGGGUUAAUAUUCCCGUACUUGGUGUUACUGCGAAGGGGGGACGGAGAAGGCUAUGUUGGCCGGGCGACGGUUGUCCCGGUUUAAGCGUGUAGGUGUGUGUUCCAGGUAAAUCCGGUUCACUUUAACACUGAGGCGUGACGACGAGGCACUACGGUGCUGAAGCAACAAAUGCCCUGCUUCCAGGAAAAGCCUCUAAGCAUCAGGUAACAUCAAAUCGUACCCCAAACCGACACAGGUGGUCAGGUAGAGAAUACCAAGGCGCUUGAGAGAACUCGGGUGAAGGAACUAGGCAAAAUGGUGCCGUAACUUCGGGAGAAGGCACGCUGACACGUAGGUGAAGUGAUUUACUCAUGGAGCUGAAGUCAGUCGAAGAUACCAGCUGGCUGCAACUGUUUAUUAAAAACACAGCACUGUGCAAACACGAAAGUGGACGUAUACGGUGUGACGCCUGCCCGGUGCCGGAAGGUUAAUUGAUGGGGUCAGCGCAAGCGAAGCUCCUGAUCGAAGCCCCGGUAAACGGCGGCCGUAACUAUAACGGUCCUAAGGUAGCGAAAUUCCUUGUCGGGUAAGUUCCGACCUGCACGAAUGGCGUAAUGAUGGCCAGGCUGUCUCCACCCGAGACUCAGUGAAAUUGAACUCGCUGUGAAGAUGCAGUGUACCCGCGGCAAGACGGAAAGACCCCGUGAACCUUUACUAUAGCUUGACACUGAACAUUGAGCCUUGAUGUGUAGGAUAGGUGGGAGGCUUUGAAGUGUGGACGCCAGUCUGCAUGGAGCCGACCUUGAAAUACCACCCUUUAAUGUUUGAUGUUCUAACGUGGACCCGU